GAGGGUAUAGCUCAAGGGGUAGAGCGCGUGCUUAGCAUGUGUGAGGUCCUGGGUUCAAUCCCCAGUACCUCUU
rnacentral:tRNA from 1 species